CACCGGACACAAGAUGUAUGCUCGUGCUCGCUGUCGCCGCAGGGGAAUCCGGUGCAAGUCCGGAACUGUCCCGCAACGGUGUACUGGUACUCAUUUGUGCGCUCGCGCCCUUCCCUGUGCCAGUGAGUCCGACGACCUGCCGACGGCGUACCCGGAUCG
rnacentral:ncRNA from 15 species